UACGUAGGGUGCAAGCGUUGUCCGGAAUUAUUGGGCGUAAAGAGCUCGUAGGCGGCUUGUCGCGUCGGCUGUGAAAACCUGGGGCUCAACCCCGGGCCUGCAGUCGAUACGGGCAGACUAGAGUGCGGUAGGGGGAGUCUGGAAUUCCUGGUGUAGCGGUGGAAUGCGCAGAUAUCAGGAGGAACACCGGUGGCGAAGGCGGGAUCCUGGGCCAGUACUGACGCUGAGGAGCGAAAGCUAGGGGAGCAAACGGG
rnacentral:rRNA from 1 species